GAGGAUCAGUUUUAUACUAUGGCUAAUAAGUGUGACGGCAUAUGGCGGAAAAAUAAGAACUCUCAGCCUCCAACAAAAAAGAGGGUGUCUAAACCAAAUCUAUUAAUGGACUUUGAAAUGGACCCUAAUACAUGUACCAGUGAAGACACCACAACUCAGCAUGAUCAAUCAGCUGAAGGACCAAAAAAAGCAGUCCAAAGAAAGAAACAAGGUCAACAGAAUUUAGAUGUGGCUUCAAGAAAGAAAAAACAGGAUAAAGAAGAUCAAAAUUUGAUUCUGUUCCACCAAAAAAGAAAUCAAAAGAAGAACUGCAAAAAGAGAAAAAGGAACGUCAGAUAAGCAGAAAUGCUGCAAUGGAGGCAGCAACAAAAUGGAUUGAAGAGCAUGCCACUAAUAAAGAAGUGAAAGACAGCCACAGGACGCCACAGAAACUGAAGUAUUUGUCGACCACUACAUACCGUCUCGUGGUCUUCAAAUUGAUCACUCUAAUUAUAAAUUGGUUCCAUUGGAUCAAGCAAUACCUCCACUUUAUGAGAGGAUUGGAGGAACUGAAGUUUCAGUCCCUCAAAAGUGGAUGGUAACCCUUCUAUCCAAGUGUAAAGGCAAAGGCUCCUCCUUCACCAUCAAAAAAAUGCUAGAUGGCUUUUUUGAGCCACAGGAGCUAGUUGGGCAGAAGGCCAGUAGUCUCCGAAACAACAAGAUAAUUCAGGCUAUACGUUUAUAUAUAAUCAACAAAUUUAAUGUCAAAGACAGUGACUUUAAUAGUGCUUUAAAUUCCAAGAUACACACCUGCAAAAGGGCAUCGACAAAGAUUAUAGAGAAGAAAUGAUUGUUUCAAUUUCAUGCAAUGGAGUCUUACUUAAUAUUUGACAAUUUGAAAUGUUUACACAAGAAGAUGUGUCACAGUGUUUCAAUGGAGAGCAAUUGAAGUUAUUUUUAUGGAUUAUCAUUUGUCCCUGUUAUAGAACAGUUACAUAUUGGGUGGUGAAAAAUUAAAUGUGACAUUUUAUACUUAUUUGAUGAUGUUAAGAACAAAGAGACAAAUAGUUACUAUUUAUUCAUGUUUAUUAUUAAUUUUUUAAUCUUAAUCUGCAUGGCUUCAUUUUGCUAUCCUUUGACUUGUUUGAGAGAUCUUAAUUAAAGGAUGUGAGCACUAACAUUUACUUAAAACCUCAACUGAACCUAUUUAAUGAAUGGUCACAUACAACGUACUGUUUCAUGUUGUCAGAGGUAAAAAUAUAUGAUUUUGAUCAAAGAAAUAUGAAAGUGAAAAGCUUAUAAAUGCAUCAGAUUUAAAUCAAAAUAAGGUGUGCCUGGUAAGAAAUAAAAACCACCAAACAACCAAAUGACACAAAAAAAAAUGUUGGAAAGAUUUUUUUGUUGAGUGAUAUGGCAACAUUAUAAGAUGGUCCUUAGCUUGAAUUGAGCAGUAGAUUUUAAGGUUUGGAGGUGUUUUUUUUCAUUUGCUGAGUGAAUAAUUAUAUGCCCCCAUAAUACAAUAGCAAUUUUAUUUUUUAAAUACAGUAUCUUCUGUAGGGCAUUGAUCAGCAUUUUUAAAUCCUUUAAUGAAUAGAAAAACAAGAAAGUCAAAUAUUUCAAAGAUCAUUUAAAUGCAUCUGGACCUACUAUUGUAGAAAUACAAAAAUCAACAAUUUUUGUUAUUUAUCCUAUAGUUCUUUUUUCUCAAACUGUUUAUUUUAUU